rnacentral:rRNA from 1 species
GUUAGGAAUAUUGGACAAUGGGCGCAAGCCUGAUCCAGCCAUGCCGCGUGAGUGAUGAAGGCCUUCGGGUUGUAAAGCUCUUUAGCCGAUGAUUAUAAUGACUGUAGUCGGAAAAUAAGCCCCGGCUAACUUCGUGCCAGCAGCCGCGGUAAUACGAAGGGGGCGAGCGUUAUUCGGAAUCACUGGGCGUAAAGCGUGCGUAGGCGGCUUUGCAAGUUGGGAGUGAAAGCCUAGGGAUCAACCCUGGAAUUGCUCUCAAAACUGCAAGGCUCGAAUUCGGGAGAGGAUAGCGGAAUUGUCAGUGUAGCAGUGAAAUGCGUAGAUAUUGACAGGAACACCAGUGGCGUAAGCGGCUAUCUGGACCGAUAUUGACGCUGAGGCACGAAAGCGUGGGGAUCAAACAGGAUUAGAAACCCGUGUAGUCC